GUAGCUGAGUCAAUUUGUUUGUUUUAUUUUUAUUUUUUUUGUGAACAUUCUCAAAACCAGUGUGUUAUAUUUUAUUUCAUUGGGUCAAAGUUUUGGUAUAUCGCCAAUUUAAUAUUGAAGGAAUGAAUGUGCAAAUAGCUCCGGUUUACCUAUUGUUGCAGGGGGGGCUUUAAUUAUUGACGCACAAUUAGCUGCAGAAGGGACGUAGUUGUAAAAACGCGGCAGAACUUGGACAGCUUUUGUGCUGACAAUUAAAGUGCAGAUCCUUCCUGAAGCCUGGUGUGACUGGUCUCCUUGAGCAACCAUUCUGCAGCCGCUACACGAGCACACACUUAUACCAAGAAACGUACUAUCAUUCACGCGACAGAAAGGCUGGGCAGUGAAAUACAUAGGCUACAUACCAAUACAAAUUGGACAUAUACACGCCUAUUCAAUCAAUCUUGACUGUGAGAGAGCCAUCCACACACGUUUGGCCUGUCCAUGUAGUGCAUGCUUAUACACACAGGGCCAAGUGACUUGAAAGAAUUGAGGAAAUAUUGGGUAGCAUUGCUUUGAAAUACAUCUUAUGUAAUUUCGGUGAGGCAAGAUAGCCUAUAUUGUUUGUAGUACCGUAACUUGGCGUCAUUUUGAUAUCAAUACUUUUGAGUAACUUGGCAUUUUUGUACGUUGAAAACGUGUUUUUUAUGAGAUAUCAUUUCUUUUUGCAAAGCGUUUUAUUAUGAGAGUGAGAAAUGCGAAGUGACCCUGUAAGAAACGGUUGUGGAUUAUGGCUAUCCUUGUGUGAAUUUGUACAAUCUGAUGAGCGUGUACCGUUUAGCAGUUUCGGUGCGCUAUAUAUGUAAAGCAGUGGCUGUGACAAAGGGUGCGGUGGCGUAAGUGUAAACGCAUCAAAAGCGCAGGUGAAAUAUGGCCAGUGUAUGUAUGUACUCACGGAUCCAUCCAUCCAACGAGCCUUGAUUGACAAAAGAAUCAGCAAGCCCAUAGAAUUAGAGCUCCCUAGGUCGCAACUUGUAUACCCUUCUGUCCUGCUCCGUUGUCUGUAAUUUCGUGGAGAUGCACUUUUAGUGUUUGUAAGGUUUAUAAGGCAUUUUAUAGGCUUAUCUGCAGGUAGGAAUCCUCUUCGCUGUUCUGCUAAGCUAGAACUGGAAAACUUGAUAGUGGAGAAUAGGAGCAGACGCAUAUGUCCCAGCAGGCUUUGCAUAUGAGAAAAUAACAACAGUGUGAGAUAAAUUAGUAGAAAUGAUGAAAUUGUGUAGUUGAAACAAUGUUUUUAGCAGAAUGGGCAUGUAGGUGAAGGUUGACAUGAUCACAGACUAUAGUGCGAAGUAGCCUAAAUGAAGUGACCAUGAGCGAGCUUUGUUUCCUUAUCGAACGGUAUAGCCUAUAUAACAGUCUGUAUAAAGCAUUGAUCGUUAAAGUGGAGGGUUAAGUAACGUGUGAAAUCUAUUGCACUGAUAUGCUUUUGUCAUGUUCAGUACUAGUAGUUAUACUUAUGAGUGAGUCAUGAUUUUAAAUGUAAUGUUUUAAUGGGGAGUUGCAGAACGUACGUACGUAGUAAUUGUUUGUAUGUGGCUAGAUAGAGAUCAGGGUGAGGAAACAUGAAUGUAGAAACGUGGUGUUUGCUGAUAAGAAGGUUUUGUACAGUAGCCAAGUGAAGAAAUGUAGUUAGUAGAAAUGUGUAACUUUUUAAUAAAAUGAAUACAUUUGCGGUCAUGAAAUGCAUAUGGGUGGCCGUGAGUGAGUUUUGGUGAAGCAAAUAUAAAAGCGUAAGAAAACGUUAGUGUAAAAGAGGAAAUUAUCUGCCUGAGGGCGAGGCGGGAUUCAAUCCUUCAUCCGGAGGGUUACCAGUCUGUGACUUUUUUAGUGCAGCACUAUGACAUAGCUAUGCAAUGCGUGAAAUAUCAUUAGCAAACCUGUCCGUGGUUUUAAAGAAGAACACAGGCCAGUAAGCACAGAAGAGCUCCCGUUGAAUCCAUAUGGCUUUGCAAUAUUGUAGCCGGUUAAUAACUGAACGUGCAGACGGUACGUCAUAAUGCAGUGUAUACGUUCGGUAGAUAUGGUGUAAAAGCAAUAAUUGAGAAGUAGUAGACAAUUGUUAGUGAGGGUAAAAGCAGGUUAAAGAAACGUGUCCCUAGCUGGGCUUGAACCUACGACCCCAUGUUCCCAAGACUGUGACCUUACCCACUAGGCCACAGGCAAAUUAGCUGUUUACACUGGAAAUGUUUCAGGUAAAAAGGUAUGGGUAUUUUGCGUGUGUAUGCAAGUUUUUGAUUGGGUCGUGAGGAUGAGGAUUUGGCUGAUGUCAGUAAAAUGUCCGAUGGGGAGACAUGUUGUUCGUGAGAUAGGCGGCAGGAAAAAUAAGAAUGAGAAGAAGAAGGAGAAAACGCAAAAUCCCCUUAGUUUGGGGCUUUAUUGUGUGGACAUGUGAAGUUGUUUAUGAAAUCUGUCUGUUGAAAUGGGGUCAGAAUGUACAGAAUUUGAUGUUUUUAAGGGCUGAGUGUCUGUGGCUGUUGUGGUUAUUUCUGUGGGGAACCCUGAAAAGUGCCAAACUCUCGGUGCUGUAUAGGUAUGGGGCAUGCCCCCGCCAAGGCGUAACUUGGCGGGAUGGCAUAUCUGCCAUCCCAGUGGUACAGAUAAUGGAUGGACACAUGGCUGCACUUACUACAGUGGUUUCCUCGUUUAGCCAGUUGUGACUUCUUAGGACAGUGAUGGCUUUUUGGCUUUCUGUCCAGGCUCUUAAGGGUUUAUUUGCACACAGACUCAAGGCAUCUCAGUGUGGUUUUGCUUGCUUGCACCCACAUGCCAGGCAAUGUGUCUGAUGAGGUACUUCCUCUAUGUUCAGCCAUUUCCUGUAAAGUAUACCUCAUAAAAAGACUAGACACCAGUAAGUGCUGCAUAGGGCAUAAGCCAUGGCAAUGGUACUGUUGUGGACCCUGUUGUGGAUAUCAGGAUACUAUCACAGACUUUCAGCUGAGAUGUUGGUACAGUACAAAUACUUCCUUUCUGUGGAGGGACAGGGGGUCUCUCUACUAGCCCCUGCUGAGACCAAUGGGACAGAAUUCAUCUGGGAGUGGACAUCACAUGAUGGAAGCUACACAAACACUCCAAUAAUUACUAUACAGUCCGAUGGGACGUUUUCAUGGAAUUUGUGGAAGGCGUCUAUUUCAAAACAAGGGAAGUACGACAUUUAUCUGGAACCGGAGUUACAAAAUGCAGGAGUUUUUACUUUCAUUCAAACUAAACCAGAGAAAGUAAAAGUGGCCCAGUUUGAAGUGUUCGCUGCAGAAGUGAAACCAUCUCGCUGGUCCAGUGUAAAAGAAGGUCCUGAUGUGACCAUGAGCUGUGAAGUAUCACACCUUCCAGAUUCAGCUACUCUGGACUGGGAAAGGGACAGAGAACCUACUGCUAACACAACGCUGAUCUACAACAACACUGCCCACAUCAUCAUCCACAGUGCUGACAGAUACAGUGAGGGAACGUAUAACUGUACACUCAGAUGCAACGGAGCACUUAUUUUCAGCAUUCCCAGGACACUUCAAGUUGAAAAUGGUAUGUUACUAUGGAUACGGUUUUCACUAGAGCAUUUACAAAAGCAUCGUUGAGCUUUAACCUUUUUUCAUAAGCAGCCCUGUGACUGUGAAGCACUUCAUUCAUGAAGAGUAAAGAUAAAUCCAAGUAAUAUCGCCAUAGUGAUCAUAAGACUCCAGUAAAAUAGAUGCAUGAUUGCAGAUUAUUCUAAAUAGGAAAGCUUUUCAGAAGUACUUUUCACAGUUUAACACAGUUUAAAAAUCAGGGCUGUCAAAGGUUUAACACAUUUUUAAAAACUACAAUUGUUGCGUGUCAGACUACCAAGUCAAAGUUCACAAAAACUGUUGGGGUGAGUGUUUGUGGACUGCAUGCCAAAAUCGCAUAUGAGACGUGUUCCUUUGACUCAGCUAAUGUGAGCUGUAGGCUGGGGAGUGAAAACAAGCAGGCUGGAGACACCACGUGUGAGAGAUUGAGCGGCUGUAUAGUAAUGGGGUGGGAAUAGGAUAUACUCAGCCCCAUGUUUGGUGGUAAAUUAUUUUUGGAGGAUAAAAAAAGAAAAAAAAAUGUAACUAUUUUAACUAUAUUUAAAUGUUUAGUAUUUUUACAUUUUAAUGCUGAAAUUUCUACAAACAAGGCAUGCAUGUUUCCAUCUUAGACAAUGGUAGUGCACAACAACCAGAAUGGAGUAAAGAAGGGACAAAAUAUAAAGUAGAGUCUAUCAUACUGUAGGAAUAUCUCACCCAUUAAAUAAAAAUGACAGUUACUGUUGAUGCUAAUACAAUGUGAUUUUUUCUUUUAAUAAAAAA